GGCCAGACUCCUACGGGAGGCAGCAGUAGGGAAUUUUGCGCAAUGGGCGAAAGCCUGACGCAGCAACGCCGCGUGAUCGAGACGCCCUUCGGGGUGUAAAGAUCUGUCAGUGGGGACGAAACUUGACGGUACCCACAGAGGAAGCACCGGCUAACUCCGUGCCAGCAGCCGCGGUAAUACGGAGGAUGCGAGCGUUAUCCGGAUUUAUUGGGUUUAAAGGGUGCGCAGGCGGAGGUGCAAGUCAGCGGUCAAAUUGCGGGGCUCAACCCCGUACUGCCGUUGAAACUGCAUCCCUUGAGUGCGCGAGAAGUAUGCGGAAUGCGUGGUGUAGCGGUGAAAUGCAUAGAUAUCACGCAGAACUCCGAUUGCGAAGGCAGCAUACCGGCGCGCAACUGACGCUCAUGCACGAAAGCGUGGGUAUCGAACAGGAUUAGAUACCCCCGUACAA
rnacentral:rRNA from 1 species